ensembl:lincRNA
CCGAGGGCCCGACCAUGCCCUGUGCUAGCAGUGCACUACCUCACAAUCCGAAGUGUGUGCAUGGGCUUCUGAGAUCACUGCACUGAAACGUAAGUGACAUGAACAGAGAGCCGGAAUGUUGCCAGAAUCUCCAAGGUCCUUCCUUGCUACUGAUUCUCAAGGUUACUCCCCACUGUGCUUGCAUAAGUCUCCUGGGGUAGGCGUGGGACCCUGUCUGUACACAGAUUAGGCAAUGGGGAGUCGGGAGGGGCCCGGACCAGCUCAUGACCAAGAGACUUGCAAGACCUCUCACCAGAAGGGUCACCCGGACACCCCAACAUCCACAGGGUGGAUCCUCUACCCAGGAGAGGCUCCUUGGAGCCCGAUGGAAAUAACACCCCGUGCAGGAGCUGAGUGCACAGCAAGAAGUACCAAGUUCUCUGUGUGUCACAUGCCAGAAGCACAGGUCUCUCAGCACCACCUGGGAGAGGUGGGAAAUUCUCACCUGUGGCUGGGCCAGGGAGCCUGCAUCAGGGCCUGCUUCUGCUGACUUGAGGGACUGGGCCUAGGCCUCAUGGAGGUUGCUGGCUUGGGAUCUGGGGUGCCUGUUCCAGACCAGGCCAAGUCUGUCUCACGGUAGGGAGUGGUGCACACAGGCACUUGUGGGAGAAAAUACAGAGCAUGUGAUUGAGCUGACUCUUACUUCCCAUGAGACCUGAGACCGGUGCAGAAUCCAAGAGAGCAGCGGGAGACAGGAGGAUUAUUAGGUGCACCUUGACUGUUGGACUCCUGUCCAAAGCCUGAGUAUGGAACAAAAAAGUUCUAGUUUCUAUGCAUUUGAUGAAGAGGGGUCUUUUUAGUGAUGUUAAGUAAGCUUAUAGAAACAGGACAAAGGCAGUCAAUUUUGUAAUUUUUCCUUAAAAGCAGACAGAACCUUAUGACUCAUAUGUGCACAGGGUGACAUAAACUUGGUUUGUGAGACCUCGUUAUCCAUUUCAUCUGUACUAGAAGAACGGCAGCUAUGGGGCAGGUGAUCUAAGGAUGGGUUAACUGCCAAAGUCUGAGAAGAACUUGCUUUUCUUUAGUCCUGCUUCAAAACAGGACCCAAACAAGUGAGGAAUGCAGCGCUGGUUCGUGUCUUACAGCACUGGGGCGGCACAGGUGGUGAUUUGUCCCCAGUGAUGAGGCCGAGCUGACUGCUGUGGGAGAAGGAGGGAGUGGCAGGAGCUUUGGGGAAUUUGAUAUGGGUUAGGGCUCAGGAACUGGGGUGGACUCCAGGAAAAAUGAGAGGACAAAAUUCUGCAAAAAAGAGCCAAAACUGUGCUCUUCGUGAAUUUAAGUGAGUUUCUCUAAGAAGCCCACGCACACAUGACGUGAGUGAGCACUCGACUCACACGGGGCACUGACAAGCUCAGCCAUUUUUAAAGGACCAGAAGUUCCAGAAGUUACACCCACUAAAUGUUGAUUUGGCCAGAAAAAAGUGGAAGGAAGACUGGAUUUGUCUUCUCCCAGGUGCUGAGGAUGUGAGAUGAGGUUUGUCGCUCACACAGGACAGAAGCAACCCUGAAGAGAAGGCCUCGGGCUCUGUGCGGCUCAGAGGAAGCAAGUGGGACACAGACAGGGGCUCUCACCGUGUGGCGGCUCUGACCCGGCACCAGGGAGUGGGCGGCUGCCUGAGGGCUGGGAUUCCAGGAUUUAAACUUCCUUCCGCCGCCCACAGAAGGUGGAGCCCAGCUGUGGGCUGCACAAGCGUUGGAACUGAACAUCUAAAAUCCAUGUGUCCAUUUAGAAAGUAUUAAAGCUGUGAGAAAGGAAUGCAUAGAGUCCAACUCAUAACAAGGUGGCAGACUCAUUCACGGAGAACGAGGCGUGGAAUCCCCACCGGGUCCUCCCUCCCACUGCGUAGUAGCCUUUCUCUGUGACACAUGGUUGUAGUUGGGGACGUGAAGCACAGCCAGACAGCAGGAGUGUAGUUUUGCCAAGGAGUAGAGGGCUGAAGCUCUCACAGGCAAGCAGCAGCCACCUCUCACCAAUCUCGGUUUUAUUAGAUGCCUGCACAGUACUUCCAUGAGAGUAAAGUGAGUUCCUUACAGAUUGCCUCUAGCAAAGCAUUAGAAAACAUUUUUUACGAACAGCUAUUAUUCUAGUUAUUCCUAUACUUUCUCAACACAGACCGUUCCCAGACUGUUAUCGGAUGGCUCUCAGGACUGUUUCCGGCCUUGAACUUCUGAGUUGUGGCUCCGUGUGCAGAACCACAACUGCAGUUCCUGUUCCAGUCCGCGUCCCCGUGUAACCUUCUCCUCUACAACGCACCAGGAGAAGUUGCUGUUAUUACACCAUAAGGUGGUUCACACAUAAACCCAAGAGAAGUUAAUUCCCAGUAACUGACAGGGUUCUGUGCCGUGUACACUGAUUUCUAAUCUCCCGUUUUACCGUUUAAGGUUCUCAUCUCCUGCUCACUCACUGUAUCAGCCUAGUGAAUGAACCAGGCGUGAUUUGGAGCACACUGCUCUCCCAGAGGUGCCUGGGUGGGAGAGGCCAGGGGAGCAGAGAAAAAGGCUGAGCGGGUCUGAGGGGGCAUCGCAGCCUAAUCACUGUUUUUUGGUUUUGGUUUUUUUAAAGGAGGAAGCUAUUUAUUGAUAGGAAACCUAGGGAGGGGCAGGAGGUGUCCCGAGUGGGCAGCCCAAGGACCCCACUUUACAGAGGAGUUUUAUAGGGUGAAACCCACGUGGGUACCAUGUGGGCCACCGCCAUGAACAUCCAACGAGGUUACAAAUGCAGCCACUCGGGUAAUGUUGGGCCACCUGGGAAGCAAGUGUGGAUGGAAAGAACACGGAUGCUCCCAGGAGGCGGUGGGUCCCCAGGUCGCUGGUCCCUGGCAGGGUGGCCUUGUCACUGUCUUUGAUGAAGGCCCUGCUUUCAGGAGUCCUGGUCCCCCUUCCACUGCGGGGGCCGUAGCUUCUCAGGUGGAGCAGGCACAGCUGUGUGCAGGACACCGGGUGCCUUUUGCUGCCAUCUGCCCUCUCUCCCUCCCCGAAGAGAGGCUCAGCCUGAACAUCCCAGCUCCCUAACUGCUGCUGCACUGCUGGGGUGACCUCCUGAGUGUCUGGGAUUUGCGGGCCAAGGACGGGAAGGGCAUUUCUGGGUGGCCAACGAGUUCAAUGUGUCGUAUGUGUUUUGGAUUUGUUCAGUCCCGCUGUGUGCAAAAACCAGGAGAAGUCGUAUCUGCCCUGCCGCUGGGGGAGCUGAUGCAGUGAGGAUGCUUUUGUUCCAGAAGGUGGCACCCAGCCCGCGUGGAUUAUCGAACAAUCUGCAGCUGCAGAUCAGAAAGUGGAACAUUGCAAUUUUCUCUUUUCUGGCUGCUGUCCAGCAGCUGAGCCUCCGCCUGAUUCGAGUGACUUUCAAGUUUCCUGCGAAACCUGAUGUACAGAGGAUGGGGCAACACUGACGUGUGGCCCCUUGAGGGAACCAUCAGCAAGCUUUGUCCUGCUCCGGUCUGGGAACAGGGAUGCGAACAGAAGAGUGAUGACAACUAAAUAGAACACAUGAAACCUCUAACAGGGGAUUGGAUGUCGGACACCGGGUAAUAAUACUGAGGUACUAGACGGAGGUAUCUGACUCUGCGGAGUACUGGUGCAGAGCAGAGGAGUGAGAACAGGACCGGAAGUCAGAACCGCAGGGGCAGCGGAACCUCACUCGGUCUCUCUGAGAGCUGCCUUCCCAGGGGUGGUGUCAUCGGGAAUUCCACAUCCUGUCCCCUGCAAACUGCAAGUGUCCUCACCUGGCCCCUCUCCCCAGGGUCACAGGCCUUGGCACCUGUUAGGGUGAGCACGAAGAUUGGCAGUGCCCUGCUGUACACCGCACUGCUAACCCUGGGCCCAGAGCUGCGUAGUCCCUGGCUCUGAGGAGGGGCCGGGGCACCAAGUGACGGGGACAUUUGGAGGAACUAGGUGAGGAGGUGAUUGCUGGGGUGAGUGAGGAUGUUUGCUGCACUGAAGAAGAUGGAGCUGGCUGUGGUGGAGCAUGCUUUGCCUUGCUGCAAGUUCAAGGUCACCCUGAGCUACGUACUGAACUCAAGGCCAGCCUGGACUGCACAGUGAGACCCUGUCGCAAAAGUUUAACUAACUAACUAACUAGGUAACUAACUAAAACAUGAAGAGCCAAGUCACACGAGCCAAGUCAAUGACCACAGACACUGCCAGCGGGCUCUGGUGUGAUUUAUCACCAUGGAGACAUUGAAACUCUGGUGCCGGAUGGUGUAAUACAGCACUUAGACUUCCUGGCCAGUUGUCAGAUGCCAGGAGUUUGGGCUUUGCUGACAGCAAACCAGACUGGGAAGAGCAAAAAUCAUUUUCAUCAGUAAGCCUGCAUGGGCUAGAUGUUUGGUGGAAACAGCUAUACUCUCUCUCACAGGGACAACAUCUCUAAUUCUAUGGGCUCCUGAGUUUGGAGAAACACAGCGGCUCUGGUCCAUGAACGCACUAACACUGACGGCCCUAACAUCCUCCUCACUUCUGUCAAGGCGUCUGCGUGAGGCCCCUCCCUCAUCCCAUGACCACAGGGCCCAACCCAGCCCGGCCCUGCAGAAACUCACGCUGCUCACAGUAUCAGGGAGUUUCCAGAGAGCAGAGGGAGCGCCUGUGCCUCAGCAUUCCCUCACGUGGAGGUUACUCAUUAACGGCAGUGACCCUGGGAAAAUAGAAGUUGCAUAACUGUGAGGAUCCUGC